AUGGCGGCUUUGCCCGGGGUAGCGUCCAUCUGCAGCGGCUCAGGCAGGACACUGCUCUCCUUUGCGGAGACUGAGGGCCCGUGGGGCUCUUCAGUGUUCCUUCCGCCCGUGAACGUGAGCGCCACCCCGGAGGCAGGAGCCUUGCACGGCGCUCUUGUGCUGUAAUGUAGGAAUUCCUUCCGUCCUCUGCACAAAAGCGUCUACAAAACACGAAAGUCUCUAGCACGGAGAGUGCCGUGCACGCGGAACCAGUUGUAGGAAGGCCAUGUGUGUGCUGGUGCAUGCUUUUGUCUUGCAAGGGGCUGGGCUGCACAGGCAUUCCCUGUUGGGAGUGUCCAGCUCCAGCACCUGCCAGAACCUGGGUUUAAGAAAACCAGUCAGCAGCAGAGCUAUGCUAAACUCAGGACUUCAGUCACCUGCUUCCUAAUUCUCAAAGCAGCUAAAGCCCUGAAGUCUUUUUUUACCUUUUAUAGUCACAGGACUAGUCAAGCAAAAUCUUGAUUGGAUUAUUCUGCUUUAAUUACAAAAUGCACUCAGACCAAAGGCGCAAUAGUACCUGGUACGUAUGUACACAUUUCUCUCAAUUAUAACACAAAAGACCAAAAUGCCAUCUGGUCCUGCUGUAGAUCAAACA